rnacentral:rRNA from 1 species
AGAGUUUGAUCCUGGCUCAGAACGAACGCUGGCGGCAGGCUUAACACAUGCAAGUCGAACGGGUGCAGCAAUGCAUCAGUGGCAGACGGGUGAGUAACACGUGGGAACCUUCCUAGGGGUACGGAACAACUCAGGGAAACUUGAGCUAAUACCGUAUACGUCCGUGAGGAGAAAGAUUUAUCGCCCUUAGACGGGCCCGCGUCGGAUUAGCUAGUUGGUGGGGUAACGGCCUACCAAGGCGACGAUCCGUAGCUGAUCUUAGAGGAUGAUCAGCCACACUGGGACUGAGACACGGCCCAGACUCCUACGGGAGGCAGCAGUGGGGAAUCUUGGACAAUGGGCGCAAGCCUGAUCCAGCCAUGCCGCGUGAGUGAAGAAGGUCUUCGGAUUGUAAAGCUCUUUUGCCAGGGACGAUAAUGACGGUACCUGGAGAAUAAGCCCCGGCAAACUUCGUGCCAGCAGCCGCGGUGAUACGAAGGGGGCUAGCGUUGUUCGGAAUUACUGGGCGUAAAGCGCACGUAGGCGGGUCGUUAAGUCAGGGGUGAAAUCCCGGAGCUCAACUCCGGAACUGCCUUUGAUACUGGCGAUCUAGAGAUCGGAAGAGGUGAGUGGAAUUCCCAGUGUAGAGGUGAAAUUCGUAGAUAUUGGGAAGAACACCAGUGGCGAAGGCGGCUCACUGGUCCGAUACUGACGCUGAGGUGCGAAAGCGUGGGGGAGCAAACAGGAUUAGAUACCCUGGUAGUCCACGCCGUAAACUAUGGAAGCUAGCCCGUCAGUCAGCUUGCUGAGUGGUGGCGCAG